rnacentral:rRNA from 1 species
CCUACGGGAGGCAGCAGUGAGGAAUAUUGGGCAAUGGGGGGAACCCUGACCCAGCAACGCCGCGUGAAGGAUGACGGCCUUCGGGUUGUAAACUUCUUUUGUGGGGGAAGAGGAAGGACGGUACCCUGCGAAUAAGUCACGGCUAACUACGUGCCAGCAGCCGCGGUAAUACGUAGGUGACGAGCGUUAUCCGGAAUUACUGGGCGUAAAGCGCACGCAGGCGGCCUGUUAAGUUUGGCGUGAAAUCUCUCGGCUUAACUGGGAGGGAGCGCUGAAGACUGGCGGGCUUGAGACAGCGAGAGGGGUGUGGAAUUCCCGGUGUAGUGGUGGAAUGCGUAGAGAUCGGGAGGAACACCAGAGGCGAAAGCGACACCCUGGCGCUGGACUGACGCUCAGGUGCGAAAGCGUGGGGAGCGAACGGGAUUAGAUACGCCGGUAGUCCACGCGGUAAACGAUGAGUACUGGGUGUGGGUGGAGUUAGAUCCAUCCGUGCCGAAGCGAACGCGCUAAGUACUCCGCCUGGGGAGUACGGCUGCAAGGUUAAAACUCAAAGGAAUUGACGG